AGAGUUUGAUCCUGGCUCAGGAUGAACGCUAGCGGCAGGCCUAACACAUGCAAGCCGAGGGGCAUCGGGGAAGCGAUUCCGCCGGCGACCGGCGCACGGGUGAGUAACGCGUAUGGAACCUGCCCCCGCCCGGGGCACAGCCCGGUGAAAACCGGAUUAAUGCCCCAUGGACCCGGGGUCCGGCAUCGGACCUCGGGCAAAGCCCAGGCGGGCGGGGAUGGCCAUGCGUGGCAUUAGCUUGUAGGUGGGGUAACGGCCCACCUAGGCUUCGAUGCCUAUGGGGUCUAGAAGGAUGGUCCCACACACUGGCACUGAGACACGGGCCAGACUCCUACGGGAGGCAGCAGUGGGGAAUAUUGGUCAAUGGGCGCAAGCCUGAACCAGCCAUGCCGCGUGCGGGAGGAAGGCCCUUCGGGUCGUAAACCGCUUUGGCCGGGGAGGAAACCGUCCCGUUUUGGGGACGCUGACCGUACCCGGAGAACAAGCGCCGGCUAACUCCGUGCCAGCAGCCGCGGUAAUACGGAGGGCGCGAGCGUUAUCCGGAUUCAUUAGGUUUAAAGGGAGCGCAGGCGGGUCCGCGCGUCGGGGGUCAAAACCGGGGGCCCAACCCCCAGGACGCCCCCGAUACGGCGGACCUUGAGAGGACCCGGGGCGGGUGGAACGGACGGUGUAGCGGUGAAAUGCAUAGAUAUCGUCCAGAACCCCGAUAGCGAAGGCAGCCCGCCGGGGUCUCUCUGACGCUCAGGCUCGAAAGCGCGGGUAGCGAACAGGAUUAGAUACCCUGGUAGUCCGCGCCGUAAACGAUGGGCACUCGCCGUCGGCGCCUGUCGCCGGCGGCCAAGCGAAAGAAACUCAAAGGAAUUGACGGGGGCCCGCACAAGCGGAGGAACAUGUGGUUUAAUUCGAUGAUACGCGAGGAACCUUACCCGGGCUUGAAAGGGGGGCGCGUGGGCCCGAGAGGGCCCUUUCCCACGGGACUCCCCCCUAGGUGCUGCAUGGCUGUCGUCAGCUCGUGCCGUGAGGUGUCGGGUUAAGUCCCAUAACGAGCGCAACCCCCGCCGCCAGUUGCCAACGGUUCAAGCCGGGGACUCUGGCGGGACUGCCGGCGCAAGCCGCGAGGAAGGCGGGGACGACGUCAAGUCAGCACGGCCCUCACGUCCGGGGCGACACACGUGUUACAAUGGCCGGCACAGCGGGAAGCCACGCGGCGACGCGGAGCGGAUCCCGAAAGCCGGUCCCAGUUCGGAUCGGAGUCUGCAACCCGACUCCGUGAAGCCGGAUUCGCUAGUAAUCGCGCAUCAGCCACGGCGCGGUGAAUACGUUCCCGGGCCUUGUACACACCGCCCGUCAAGCCAUGGAAGCCUGGGGCGCCUGAAGUCCGCCGCCGCGAGGGGCGGCCUAGGGCGAGACAGGUGACUGGGGCUAAGUCGUAACAAGGUAGCCGUACCGGAAGGUGCGGCUG
rnacentral:rRNA from 1 species